AAUAGGAAAGAGUUGUGUAUAUCCCAUUGGCAUACGUGGGCAAGGGGCGGGGUCUAUUUUCCGUGUCAUGGCUCCUCCCUGUAGACUUCAAGAAGUUCCAUAUCCGGAAGUGGGCUCCGUAGACUUUCGUUUGACUGUCGACACCUUUCUCGGGACUUUGGUUCGGCAUACACUGCUGGCUGUACCUAUUGUUGUCAUUACUACCAUGUGGGACACAGUAAGAUGCGUAAGAUGCCUUGUGAAUCUAAGGAGGCUGCCGUGGCUGGAGGAUGCUGUCGAAGGUGUAGGAGACUGCCGUGGCUGGAGGAGGCUGGAGGAGGCUGCCGAAGGUGGAGGAGGCUGCCGAAGGUGGAGGAGGCUGCCGUGGCUGGAGGUGGAGGUGGAGGAGGCUGCCGAAGGUGGAGGAGGCUGCCGAAGGAAGAAGCUUCCGUAGGUGGAGGAGGCUGCCGUGGCUGGAGGAGGAGGAGGCUGCCGAGGCUGGAGGAGGCUGCUGUAGCUGGCGGAGGCUGGAGGAGGAGGAGGCUGCCGUAGGUGGAGGAGGAGAAGGAGGCUGCCGUAGGUGUAGCUGGAGGAGGCUGCCGUAGCUGGAGGAGGCUGCCGUAGCUGGAGGAGGCUGCCGAAGGUGGAGGAGGCCGUGGCUGGAGGAGGCUGGAGGCUGCCGAAGGUGGAGGAGGCUGCCGAAGGUGGAGAAGGCUGCUGAAGGAAGAGGCUUCUGUAGGUGGAGGAGGCUGCUGAAGGUGUAGGCAGAGACUUCUUCGCUUGGCUUUUGCUGCCCAGCUGUGUCAUAUUCACUCAUCAUUGACUGAUGACCCCUGAACAGAUUUCCGGCCCUUCUUCAUACACCUUGUCUUCCACCUUCACAGUCAUGGCACAACACUCAGGAGUGCUGUGAGUUGCAUGACACCUGCAGAGGCUCCAUACUACAGACUACUUCUACUCGGUACUACAGAAACCGGAUCACUUGACAAGCCUGUGUCCUGUUUUGGCCUUCCACACUCUGUAGGAUUGCAUAGGCUCCAUUUCUUCUCCCACAUCACCAUUCCAAAACAACUCCAGAUGUUUCGUUUGUAUUAUGGCCAGUUUCUUUACAUCUGUUACACUACCUGUGUUUUGCACCCAAAACUGGACUGCUCUAUCUGUUUCUUGUUUUUUAUCAUUAUCACUUGCAUUGCUGUAAAUAUGUUCCAUUAGCUCAGUUUUGCAACUAUGAAGUGUACAGUUUUGUUGUUGUAUUACUGUUACGCUGAGCAAAAAGAAACCUCAAACCUUA